rnacentral:rRNA from 1 species
UGGCUCACCAAGGCUACGAUGGGUAGGGGUUCUAAGUGGAAGGUCCCCCACACUGGCACUGAGAUACGGGCCAGACUCCUACGGGAGGCAGCAGUAGGGAAUAUUGAUCAAUGGGCGCAAGCCUGAACCAGCCAUGCCGCGUGCAGGAUGAAGGCUCUCUGAGUUGUAAACUGCUUUUGUACAGGAGCAAAAAAACCCCUGAGGGGGUUCUUGAGAGUACUGUAAGAAUAAGCACCGGCUAAUUCCGUGCCAGCAGCCGCGGUAAUACGGGAGGUGCAAGCGUUAUCCGGUUUUAUUGGGUUUAAAGGGUGCGUAGGCGGCUUAUUAAGUCAGUUGUGAAAUCCUAGUGCUUAACGCUAGAACUGCGAUUGAUACUAUCAGGCUUGAGU